AUCAGUUGUCUAUGGUAGCAUCUUUUAUUUUUAUAUUUUGACUUAACAUAAGUUGACUGAUGUUCAUAGGACUGGAACUGAGCCUCACUUUUGUACACACAAGCAGUCUUAAUCUUGCACACUUGAGACCCACUUAAACAGAACUGUUAAAGCAAAUACCAAGUUGUAUGAAAAAGCGAAACAAUAUGGCACUGUGAAUUUUGAAGUUCAAAGCAAUAUAAUAAUGUUAUGUUCACCCGCAGAUUCCCAUCCUUUUAAGGAACCCAUAUGCAUUUGUGUUCCUGCAUUAACAGGUGAGAAAGUAGGGAAACAAAUCGGAGGCUUGGGAAUUACAUUUUUUCAGGUUACACUCAAACAUGUUGAGUAUUAAAGUGUGUAGUCCUUCCAGUACUGUAUGCUCUUCUAAGGGGACACAGAGGAUCUGAGCAAGGUGGUACCAGAACAGUAACAGUAGUGGUUCUGUUCUCUUUCUCCCAGUGCAGGACUGGGAUCGACUGCUGGAACUUUCUCCGUUGUUCCAUCAGCUCAAACAGGUGGAGGAGCAGCUGAGGGACAGAGCCCGGCAGGGGGGGCUGCUGGCGGAACAUCUGCCUGAUAGGGGGUGUCCUUUUGUAGAUGUAUUGGAUGCUCAGUGGGAGUGUGAGGGGGAGCUGGUGCCACUAAGUCCGGACUCCCUGAAUCCUCGUGAGUUCUUGGUGUACCAGCAUGGGUUGUUUCUCUUGCGCACCCUCCACUCACAUGCUGAGAUUCCAGCUGUCACACUGCAAGUGGCCAGCAGCCUUCCCUUUAACAACUACCAUCACAAUGCCUUCCGCAAUUCCUUCUUCUAUCAGGAAGCAGAGAAGAACCUGUUUGUGCGUCGCCAGCGGUUAUGGUCUGAGGGAGGUUUCUCGCUGCUGCUCCUCCAUUGUGUGUCUCACAUUGCUGUGGGAAACUUGUGCACUGACAACACUGACUUUCAAAGGGUCUUCUUCCAGGUGUUGCAGCUGUGCCUCAGUGAAUACUUCCUGAUCAGACUUGGUGCCCCAUUAGAUCCUCGAGCAGAUGCACUAUGGGAUGCUGCGCAGAAUCCAGACCAGUGUACCCAGUCAGCCCUGCUCCCCUUGCUGGUGGAGAGGGUGCAGAAGCCAGCUCAUGGUCCUUUCUCCAGAGAACAGGUGCUGAAGCAGCUUCAGAGACACCGGGAGACUUCUGGCCUGUGGCAUCUGGAGAACUUGCUGAGAGAGACGAGAUCAGAAGUCAGAAAAGGGUGGCAGAAGCCUCUCUCAUAAACACUAUGGUGAGGGCCAAAACCACAGCCACCAUAUCCAUUAGCCAACAGUUUAGCUCUGUAAUAUUAACUUAUUUCAAAAGGACUGAAAAAUUGCAUGGGUUGAGCAUUUUCCAAAUACAUUCCAACAUGUAUGUAUAUAUUUCGAUACCAGUCAUUUUAAAAUAAACUGACUAACUAACUAACUCA
rnacentral:lncRNA from 1 species